UUCCAAAAAUAAUUGACGGGGAUCUCCCCAUUUGCUGAGGUGUACGUUCUGGGUUAAUUUAGGGUUCAUGGGGAUGUUAAUAUGAUGGAUGUUAUCAUGGGUGUCAUGUGUUGCUUUUUAAUGUCGUAGUGAUGUAAAUAUAUAUAUAUAUAUGCAUGUGUGUGAGUGUGUGUAUGUGUGUGUGUGGGCCACUGCUGAUACGAUCGAGCAGAUGAUCAUUCUAUAUAUACCUUAAUUAAGGAUCUCCAAACCAUAAUAGAGUUUGAGAAAUUAAGGUAGAUAUCAGAUCAUCAGGAGCUGGCUAGCUAGCUAGUUUGCUUAGACUUGUACGCUUUCUCAUCAUGUGAACCUUUGUUUGUACGUUGUGCUUUGUUUUCUGGUGAUCAAGGUACCUAUAAUAUUGUUCAGUUCAUGUGU